rnacentral:rRNA from 1 species
UACGUAGGGUGCGAGCGUUGUCCGGAAUUAUUGGGCGUAAAGGGCUCGUAGGCGGUUUGUCGCGUCGGGAGUGAAAACCCAGGGCUUAACCCUGGGCUGGCUUCCGAUACGGGCAGACUAGAGGUAUGCAGGGGAGAACGGAAUUCCUGGUGUAGCGGUGAAAUGCGCAGAUAUCAGGAGGAACACCGGUGGCGAAGGCGGUUCUCUGGGCCGAUACUGACGCUGAGGAGCGAAAGCGUGGGGAGCGAACAGG